rnacentral:lncRNA from 1 species
UCUUUCUCUCUCUCACACAAGGCUCUGGCCACCCGGUUCACAACAUACAUACAUCUCCGUACCCUUUUGUUAGCUAUUGUUUUCCUACAAACACUCAAACUAACUUAGGCACUGGAGGACCUUUGGCCAACACCCCCGGGUAAGGUCCUCUUAUUUCGAUUUCUUUUGCAAAGAGAAAGAGACAGCGAAGAGAAAGAUAGAAUUUUAGACAAAUUGGGACGAAAAUCUCUCCCACAAAAAACACAUCCCCGUUCACGUUGCUAUGACUCAUACCCCAAAAGAAAUGAAGAAAUGACCGGAGAAAGGAGGUUUCUGGCUUUGGAAUAGAGUCUGAAACGCUCCUAACGGUGGAGCAAUUUUACAUUAAUUGGAGAAGAUUACAUUGAUAUUGGAGAGAGAAAAGUAAAGUUUGAAAAAUGCAAAUUGUUUGUUACUAAAUUAAAGAACCAUCUUUGUAUUAAGAAUAUCUGCUUUAUGGGCGUAGGAGUUGUGCUCUUUAUUAAUUAACCAAGGGAUUCCUUUAGAGGCAUGACCUUUAUGUAUCUUCUUCUUGCUCUUAAGAACAUUUGUUCUUUCUGUUUUUGACAAAAAAAAAAAAAAAAAAAAAAAAACAAACAAACAAACAAAUAAACUAAUCUAGUCUACAUCCCAAUAUCCAUAAUUUAUAAUUACUGAUUCCUUCUUGUAAAUAUCUAC